rnacentral:rRNA from 1 species
GUUAGGGCACGACACCGGAGAGGGAGCCUGAGAACGGCUACCACAUCCAAGGAUGGCAGCAGGCGCGCAAAUUACCCAAUCCCAACACGGGGAGGUAGUGACAAUAAAUAACAAUACGGGGUUCUUUCGGAUUUCGUAAUUGGAAUGAGUACAAUUUAAAUCUCUUAACGAGGGAACAAUUGGAGGGCAAGUCUGGUGCCAGCAGCCGSGGNUAAUUCCAGCUCCAAUAGCGUAUAUUAAAGUUGUUGCAGUUAAAAAGCUCGUAGUUGAAUUUCGGGAUCAAUUAAUUGGUCGUGCCUCUGGUACGUACUGAUUUUAUUGGUUUCUCCCUUCUGACGAACCAUGAUGUCRUUAAUUUGGUGUCGUGGAGAAUCAGGACUGUUACUUUGAAAAAAUUAGAGUGUUUAAAGCAAGCUAACGCUUGAAUACAUUAGCAUGGAAUAAUGAAAUAGGACGUUUGAUCCUAUUUUGUUGGUUUCUAGGAUCGACGUAAUGAUUAAUAGGGAUAGUUGGGGGCAUUANUAUUCAAUUGUCANAGGUGAAAUUCUUGGAUUUAUUGAAGACUAACUACUGCGAGAAGCAUUUGCCAAGGAUGUUUUCAUUAAUCAAGAACGAAAGUUAGGGGGAUCGAAGACNAUCANAUACCGUCGUAGUCUUAACCAUAANCUAUGCCGACUAGGGAUCGGAUGAUGUUAAUUUUUUAAUGACUCANUCGGCGCCNUACGGGAAACC